rnacentral:piRNA from 1 species
AAAUUUGAGAAUCUCUGCAAGCUC